rnacentral:rRNA from 1 species
GACGAACGCUGGCGGCGUGCUUAACACAUGCAAGUCGAACGGAAAGGCCCUGCUUUUGUGGGGUGCUCGAGUGGCGAACGGGUGAGUAACACGUGAGUAACCUGCCCUUGACUUUGGGAUAACUUCAGGAAACUGGGGCUAAUACCGGAUAGGAGCUCCUGCUGCAUGGUGGGGGUUGGAAAGUUUCGGCGGUUGGGGAUGAACUCGCGGCUUAUCAGCUUGUUGGUGGGGUAGUGGCUUACCAAGGCUUUGACGGGUAGCCGGCCUGAGAGGGUGACCGGCCACAUUGGGACUGAGAUACGGCCCAGACUCCUACGGGAGGCAGCAGUGGGGAAUAUUGCACAAUGGGCGGAAGCCUGAUGCAGCAACGCCGCGUGCGGGAUGACGGCCUUCGGGUUGUAAACCGCUUUCGCCUGUGACGAAGCGUGAGUGACGGUAAUGGGUAAAGAAGCACCGGCUAACUACAUG